AGAGGUGGAAUUCUCAGAUUUGUUAAAGACUGACUUAUGCAAAAGCAUUUGCCAAGGAUGUUUUCAUUAAUCAAGAACGAAAGU
rnacentral:rRNA from 1 species